rnacentral:rRNA from 1 species
UACGAAGGGUGCAAGCGUUACUCGGAAUUAUCUGGGUCGGUAAAGCGUGCGUAGGUGGUUCGUUAAGUCUGAUGAUGAAAGCCCGUGGGCUCAACCUGGGAAUGGCAUUGGAAACUGGCGACCUAGAGUGCGGUAGAGGGCAGUGGAAUUCCCGGUGUAGCAGUGAAAUGACGUAGAGAUCGGGAGGAACAUCUGUGGCGAAGGCGACUGCCUGGACCAGCACUGACCACUGAGGCACGAAAGCGUGGGGAGCAAACAGG